rnacentral:misc_RNA from 1 species
AUCUUAAAAAUAGAGAUCAUCGUUGUAAAAGAACAUAAGAGUUCUGGAUGAUCACUUGCUAUUACCUAUAUUCAAUAUUGUGAAAUUCCUAUUUUUCCUAUCCAGAUCUAUGGUAUACCUUUUCUUGUUUAAUUAUUUAUUUGUUGAUCUUCAAUGACGUAGGUAUUAAUGCAUGUAUGGAAUAGGAAUGUCUGAGCAUUUUAAUGAGAAUUUGACUAGCAUUGUGAGGGG